UACGGAGGGUGCAAGCGUUAAUCGGAAUUACUGGGCGUAAAGCGUGCGCAGGCGGUUUGUUAAGUCCGUUGUGAAAGCCCCGAGCUCAACUUGGGAAUUGCAGUGGAUACUGGCAGGCUGGAGUACGGUAGAGGAAGGUGGAAUUCCCGGUGUAGCAGUGAAAUGCGUAGAUAUCGGGAGGAACACCAGUGGCGAAGGCGGCCUUCUGGACCAGUACUGACGCUCAUGCACGAAAGCGCGGGGAGCGAACAGG
rnacentral:rRNA from 1 species